rnacentral:rRNA from 1 species
AAGUCUGACGGACGCCGCGUGAGCGAUGAAGGCCUUCGGGUCGUAAAGCUCUGUUGUUAGGGAAGAACAAGUGCUAGUUGAAUAAGCUGGCACCUUGACGGUACCUAACCAGAAAGCCACGGCUAACUACGUGCCAGCAGCCGCGGUAAUACGUAGGUGGCAAGCGUUAUCCGGAAUUAUUGGGCGUAAAGCGCGCGCAGGUGGUUUCUUAAGUCUGAUGUGAAAGCCCACGGCUCAACCGUGGAGGGUCAUUGGAAACUGGGAGACUUGAGUGCAGAAGAGGAAAGUGGAAUUCCAUGUGUAGCGGUGAAAUGCGUAGAGAUAUGGAGGAACACCAGUGGCGAAGGCGACUUUCUGGUCUGCAACUGACACUGAGGCGCGAAAGCGUGGGGAGCAAACAGGAUUAGAUACCCUGGUAGUCCACGCCGUAAACGAUGAGUGCUAAGUGUUAGAGGGUUUCCGCCCUUUAGUGCUGAAGUUAACGCAUUAAGCACUCC